GACGAACGCUGGCGGCGUGCUUAACACAUGCAAGUCGAACGGAAAGGCCCAGCUUUUGUGGGGUGCUCGAGUGGCGAACGGGUGAGUAACACGUGAGUAACCUGCCCUUGACUUUGGGAUAACUUCAGGAAACUGGGGCUAAUACCGGAUAGGAGCUCCUGCUGCAUGGUGGGGGUUGGAAAGUUUCGGCGGUUGGGGAUGGACUCGCGGCUUAUCAGCUUGUUGGUGGGGUAGUGGCUUACCAAGGCUUUGACGGGUAGCCGGCCUGAGAGGGUGACCGGCCACAUUGCGACUGAGAUACGGCGCAGACGCCUACGGGAGGCAGCAGUGGUGAAUAUUGCACAACGAGGGGAAGCCUGAUGCAGCAACGCCGCGUGCGGAAUGACGGCCUUCGGGUUGUAAACAGCUUUCGCCUGUGACGAAGCGGGAGUGACGGUAACUGGUAAAGAAGCACCGGCUAACUACGUG
rnacentral:rRNA from 1 species